GCUUGAUUAAACUUAUGCUUACCAAAUACAACUGUUUCAUUUGAAUAAUCAAUGUCCAAAUAAAUAACUAUUGAUUUCUGUGAAAUACAUGUAUUGCCACUAGUGAAAUUAAUGCUUUUAUAAUUUUUCUUUUUCCUUCAUACUGAUUUCAUCUCCCUAAUUUCAGUCAUAUCUAAACAUUCCAUUUUGUAAAACAUAAACCAUUAACCUUCCUUUCCUUAAUUUGUUUUUAUCUCAAACGUCUUAAAAGAGUAAUUUAUUCACUU
rnacentral:lncRNA from 1 species